UACGUAGGAUGCAAGCGUUGUCCGGAAUUAUUGGGCGUAAAGAGCGCGCAGGCGGUCUAUCAAGUCAGAUGUGAAAUAUCCAGGCUUAACCUGGAGGGGUCAUUUGAAACUGGUAGACUAGAGUACAGCAGAGGAUAGUGGAAUUCCCGGUGUAGUGGUGAAAUGCGUAGACAUCGGGAGGAACACCAGUGGCGAAGGCGACUAUCUGGGCUGAAACUGACGCUGAGGCGCGAAGGCUAGGGGAGCAAACAGG
rnacentral:rRNA from 1 species